UACAGGGAGUGCAGACGUUAUUCGGCAUAAUUGGGUGUAAAGGAUAUGUAGACUGUUUUGGAUUGGAUAUCUUUUUAAAAACUAGAGAAGGUCCUUUAGACUGAUGAAGAUUUACUCAAAAACUACGAGUUUAAGAAAAGUUGAGAGAAUUUCUCGUGUAGGGAUAGAAUCCAGAAAUAUUAGAACGACUACCGAAAUUGUUGCGAAAGCACUCUUCUAGCUUAACACUGACGUUGAGAUAUGAAAGUAUGGGGAUCAAACAGG
rnacentral:rRNA from 1 species